UAUAUUAUAGCCCUUGAAAAUUUUUUAUUUGUAGAAACACCAGGAGAAGCAGAAACCAGCCUUGCAAGCAGCACUAAGAUAAUGCAUUACCCAACUUUACUGGAAAAUGUCAGGGGCCAGGAUACUGUCUCAUCUGACGUAAUUCCUCCCAAUUUUGAAACACCAGGAGAAGCAGAAACCAGCCUUGCAAGCAGCACUAAGAUAAUGCAUUACCCAACUUUACUGGAAAAUGUCAGGGGCCAGGAUACUGUCUCAUCUGACGUAAUUCCUCCCAAUUUUGAAACACCAGGAGAAGCAGAAACCAGCCUUGCAAGCAGCACUAAGAUAAUGCAUUACCCAACUUUACUGGAAAAUGUCAGGGGCCAGGAUACUGUCUCAUCUGACGUAAUUCCU
ensembl:lncRNA